rnacentral:rRNA from 1 species
AACGUGCCCCGAGGUAGAGGAUAGCCGUGGGAAACUGCGGGUAAUACUCUAUAAGUUCCAAGGAAGAAAGCUCCGGCGCCUUGGGAGCGGCGAUCGUCCUAUCAGGUUGUUGGUGGGGUAAAGGCCUACCAAGCCGAAGACGGGUAGCGGGUGUGAGAGCAUGGCCCGCCGCAUCGGAACUGAGACACUGUCCGGACUCCUACGGGAGGCUGCAGUAACGAAUCUUCCGCAAUGCGCGAAAGCGUGACGGAGCAAUGCCGCGUGUGGGAUGAAGCGGUUACGCCGUGUAAACCACUGUCAGGACUUAGGAAGAA